GACGAACGCUGGCGGCGUGCUUAACACAUGCAAGUCGAACGGAAAGGCCCUGCUUUUGUGGGGUGCUCGAGUGGCGAACGGGUGAGUAACACGUGAGUAACCUGCCCCUGACUUUGGGAUAACUUCAGGAAACUGGGGCUAAUACCGGAUAGGAGCUCCUGCUGCAUGGUGGGGGUUGGAAAGUUUCGGCGGUUGGGGAUGGACUCGCGGCUUAUCAGCUUGUUGGUGGGGUAGUGGCUUACCAAGGCUUUGACGGGUAGCCGGCCUGAGAGGGUGACCGGCCACAUUGGGACUGAGAGACGGCCCAGACUCCUACGGGAGGCAGCAGUGGGGAAUAUUGCACAAUGGGCGGAAGCCUGAUGCAGCAACGCCGCGUGCGGGAUGACGGCCUUCGGGUUGUAAACCGCUUUCGCCUGUGACGAAGCGUGAGUGACAGUAAUGGGUAAAGAAGCACCGGCUAACUACGUG
rnacentral:rRNA from 1 species